rnacentral:rRNA from 1 species
UACGGAGGGUGCGAGCGUUAAUCGGAAUUACUGGGCGUAAAGCGAGCGUAGGCGGUUGUCUAAGCCAGAUGUGAAAGCCCUGGGCUUAACCUAGGAACUGCAUUUGGAACUGGGCAACUAGAGUAUAGGAGAGGAGGGUAGAAUUUCAGGUGUAGCGGUGAAAUGCGUAGAGAUCUGAAGGAAUACCGGUGGCGAAGGCGGCCCUCUGGCCUAAUACUGACGCUGAGGUUCGAAAGCGUGGGGAGCAAACAGG